GGUCAAUGUGUUUUUGCAUUAACCUAUAAAUGUAACUGUUUUUGACGUUCUUAGAUCAGAUUCUCCUGGACACUGUGCCAAGUAUGGUAGCUACUCCUUGAUUGAGGAUCGAAUUAACAAAGUUUUGGAUGUUCAGCUUGUCCAAAGCUCAGAAGUCCCAAGCAGCUCUUGGUGUGAGCUAGAGGGUCUAAAGCGGAGUAUGCAGUUCCUGAUGGACCAAGACAUGCAAGUGUCUGCUCUGAUAACAGACAGAAAUCGGCAGGUAAUGAUGCUAGGAGAGAUCUAAAGCUGAACAGCAUUGACAGGCACAGUAUCACUCAAAAUAAAUUCUAUAAAAUCAAUUUGUGUUUUAGGUGGCUAAGUGGGUACGUGAGAAAAUGUGUUCAGAAGGAACAAAGCAUUUCUUUGACGUCUGGCAUAUUGGGAAAAGUGUACAGAAAGCACUGGAUGCUGCUGCAAAAGAGAGGGACUGUGAGGAUCUGAAGCUGUGGAGGCCUGCCAUUAUCAACCAUCUCUACUGGACCGCAGCUUCCACCCCUACAGGAGAUCCAGAUGAGAUGCAGGCAAAAUGGCAGAGUAUGAUAAAUCAUGUACAGGACAUACAUGAACACAGCUCUCCAGCAUUUACCAGCUGCGCACAUCCACCGUUGGAAGGAGAGGCAAGAAACAAGGAGUGGCUGGAACCAGGUACAACAUAAUAGCCUAUGUUAAAA